GGGGAUUUCAACAGAUAACGCACCCCGGCUUUCACUUCAUGCAGAAUAUUCUACAAACACGCAACAAAGAACAGGCAGGAGCCAAAAGCUCCGAAUUCACACAAUUAAAUUGCGCCCCCUGCUGUCAACACAUGGAAGAAACAAGAAUGCUUUCAGAGCCACUGUGCUCUUUAUGAAAACACAGUUCCCAGGCAGUCUGCUGAGAAACAUGGCCAAAUAAGCAGCAGGGCCUUGAUACAAGGCAAUGAUUCAAAUGAAACAUACAGCCAAACCAAGAAAGAGAUGGUUAACAGAAAACAAUAUCAACAGUCGCCCACCCAGCGUCAAGACCUGAAUGCAAUCAACAAUCUAUGGAAGGAGCUAAAGACCAGAGUGAUUUCAGAGUACUUUUGGACAUGGCACUUUUCAUGAAAAUCAAAUCUGAUAAAAUAAAUGAAUAAAUAUA